GACGAACGCUGGCGGCGUGCUUAACACAUGCAAGUCGAACGGUAAGGCCCUUCGGGGUACACGAGUGGCGAACGGGUGAGUAACACGUGGGUGAUCUGCCCUGCACUUCGGGAUAAGCCUGGGAAACUGGGUCUAAUACCGGAUAGGACUCCUGGCUUCAUGGUUGGGGGUGGAAAGCUUUUGCGGUGUGGGAUGGGCCCGCGGCCUAUCAGCUUGUUGGUGGGGUAAUGGCCUACCAAGGCGACGACGGGUAGCCGGCCUGAGAGGGUGACCGGCCACACUGGUACUGAGAUACGGCCCAGACUCCUACGUGAGGCAGCAGUGGGGAAUAUUGCACAAUGGGCGCAAGCCUGAUGCAGCGACGCCGCGUGAGGGAUGCCGGCCUUCGGGUUGUAAACCUCUUUCAGCACCGACGAAGCGCAAGUGACGGUAGGUGCAGAAGAAGGACCGGCCAACUACGUGCCAGCAGCCGCGGUAA
rnacentral:rRNA from 1 species